AGAGGCGAUUUCGGUCAAUCAUGUAAAAUCUUAGUGGCGGACGGGUGAGUAACGCGUGGGUAACCUGCCUUACACUGGGGGAUAACACUUAGAAAUAGGUGCUAAUACCGCAUAAGCGCACGAAGCCGCAUGGAUUUGUGUGAAAAACUCCGGUGGUAUACGAUGGACCCGCGUCUGAUUAGCUUGUUGGCGGGGUAGAGGCCCACCAAGGCGACGAUCAGUAGCCGGCCUGAGAGGGUGAACGGCCACAUUGGGACUGAGACACGGCCCAAACUCCUACGGGAGGCAGCAGUGGGGAAUAUUGCACAAUGGGGGAAACCCUGAUGCAGCGACGCCGCGUGAGUGAAGAAGUAUUUCGGUAUGUAAAGCUCUAUCAGCAGGAAAGAAAAUGACGGUACCUGACUAAGAAGCCCCGGCUAACUACGUGCCAGCAGCCGCGGUAAUACGUAGGGGGCAAGCGUUAUCCGGAAUUACUGGGUGUAAAGGGAGCGUAGACGGUUAAGUAAGUCUGGAGUGAAAGGCCGGGGCCCAACCCCGGGACUGCUCUGGAAACUAUUGAACUUGAGUGCAGGAGAGGUAAGCGGAAUUCCUAGUGUAGCGGUGAAAUGCGUAGAUAUUAGGAGGAACACCAGUGGCGAAGGCGGCUUACUGGACUGUAACUGACGUUGAGGCUCGAAAGCGUGNGGAGCAAACAGGAUUAGAUACCCUGGUAGUCCACGCCGU
rnacentral:rRNA from 1 species